rnacentral:ncRNA from 1 species
ACUUCGGGAGGGCUGCACUUAUUAGAUCAAAACCAUCCUGGGUAAAACCAGUUCUAUGGUGAUUCAUAAUAAUUAAGCUGAUCGCAUGGCCUUGCGCCGGCGACGGUACAUUCGAUUUUCUGCCCUAUCAGGCUGUUGAUUGUAAGGUAGUGGCUUACAAUGGCGACCACGGGUAACGGGGAAUUAGGGUUCGAUUCCGGAGAGGGAGCCUGAGAAACGGCUACCACAUCCAAGGAAGGCAGCAGGCGCGCAAAUUACCCAAUCCCAACUCGGGGAGGUAGUGACAAUAAAUAACAAUGCAGGGCCUUCUGGCCUUGCAAUUGGAAUGAGUACAAUUUAAAUCCCUUAACGAGGAUCAAUUGGAGGGCAAGUCUGGUGCCAGCAGCCGCGGUAAUUCCAGCUCCAAAAGCGUAUAUUAAAGUUGUUGCAGUUAAAACGUCCGUAGUCGAAUUUACGCCUGGUGGCUCGGCCGCUGGUCCUUCAUUGGGCCAGAUUGGCUGUAGUCCCGGCGAUAAAGCUUGGAUCAGGUAGGGUUGGUUUCGGCCGGCUCUGCUCUAUGCCCAAGCGUAUUACCAUGAGCAAAUCAGAAUGCUCAAAGUAGGCCUAAGCGCCUGAAUGUGUUAGCAUGGAAUAAUGAAAUAGGACUCGAGUCUUGUUUUGUUGGUUUACUUGACAUUGAGAAAUGAUGAAUAGGAACGGUUGGGGGCAUUUGUAUUUGGCCGCUAGAGGUGAAAUUCUUGGAUUGGCCGAAGACAAACUACUGCGAAAGCAUUUGACCCAGGACGUUUUCAUUGAUCAGGGACUAAAGUUGAGGGAUCGAAGACGAU